ACCAGACUCCUACGGGAGGCAGCAGUGAGGAAUAUUGCUCAAUGGGCGGGAGCCUGAACCAGCCAAGUCGCGUGAGGGAAGACGGUCCUAUGGAUUGUAAACCUCUUUUGCCGGGGAGCAAGCGUGCGUUCGUGAACGCACGUCGAGAGUACCCGGAGAAAAAGCAUCGGCUAACUCCGUGCCAGCAGCCGCGGUAAUACGGAGGAUGCGAGCGUUAUCCGGAUUUAUUGGGUUUAAAGGGUGCGCAGGCGGAUUUUUAAGUCAGCGGUCAAAUCGUGGGGCUCAACCCCAUCCAGCCGUUGAAACUGGGGAUCUAGAGUGUGCGAGAGGUAUGCGGAAUGCGUGGUGUAGCGGUGAAAUGCAUAGAUAUCACGCAGAACCCCGAUUGCGAAGGCAGCAUACCGGUGCACAACUGACGCUCAGGCACGAAAGCGUGGGUAUCGAACAGGAUUAGAUACCCCCGUAAA
rnacentral:rRNA from 1 species